rnacentral:rRNA from 1 species
UUAAGCAUAUCAAUAAGCGGAGGAAAAGAAACCAACAGGGAUUGCCUCAGUAACGGCGAGUGAAGCGGCAAAAGCUCAAAUUUGAAAUCUGGUACCUCUGGUGCCCGAGUUGUAAUUUGAAGAUAGUUUUCUGGUAUUGGGCCCUUGUCUAUGUUCCUUGGAACAGGACGUCAUAGAGGGUGAGAAUCCCGUCUGGCGGGGCGCCCUUUGCUAUGUAGAUUUCUAUCGACGAGUCGAGUUGUUUGGGAAUGCAGCUCUAAGUGGGUGGUAAAUUCCAUCUAAAGCUAAAUAUUGGCGAGAGACCGAUAGCGAACAAGUACAGUGAUGGAAAGAUGAAAAGAACUUUGAAAAGAGAGUGAAAAAGUACGUGAAAUUGUUGAAAGGGAAGGAUAUUGGAUCAGACUUGGUGUUGCAUGAUUAUCUUCCCCUUGUGGGUUGUGCACUCGUGCUUCACUGGGCCAGCAUCGGUUCGGACGGCAAGAUAAUGACAUUGGGAACGUGGCUCUUUCUUCGGUUAGAGUGUUAUAGCCCAUGUUGAUGUUGCCUGCCUGGACCGAGGACUGCGGCUUCGGCCUAGGAUGCUGGCGUAAUGAUUCAAUAUCGCCCGU